rnacentral:rRNA from 1 species
GACGAACGCUGGCGGCGUGCUUAACACAUGCAAGUCGAACGGAAAGGCCCUGCUUGCAGGGGACUCGAGUGGCGAACGGGUGAGUAACACGUGGGUGAUCGGCCCUGCACUUCGGGAUAAGCCUGGGAAACUGGGUCUAAUACCCGAUAGGAGCGAUGUUGAAUGUGAUGGUUGGAAAGUUUUUUCGGUGUAGGAUGAGCUCGCGGCCUAUCAGCUUGUUGGUGGGGUAAUGGCCUACCAAGGCGGCGACGGGUAGCCGGCCUGAGAGGGUGGACGGCCACCUUGGGACUUAGAUAAGGCCGCGAUGCCUAAGGGAGGACGCAGUGGGGAAUCUUGCACCAUGGGCGCAAGCCUGAUGCAGCGACGCCGCGUGGGGGAUGACGGCCUUCGGGUUGUAAAAUCCUUUCGCUAGGGAACCAGCUUUUUGUGACGUUACCUAGAUAAGAAGCACCGGCUAACUACGUG